AACAGGGAUUCUUCCUUGAGCGCUGAUGUGAACAAGCACAGGACAGACCCAGCAUCAGAUUUCAGUAUCUGCUGCCAGCCAGAUGUCCGUGCAGGUGCUCUGGCCCUUCCGUUCUCUCUGAGAGCUUGCUGCUCUGAGUGGGAUGUCAGGUUUUAGCUUAUUCAUCUUUUCUGUUUGAUCUCUCUAGAAGAAAGUAGCCACCACGGUGCUGAGAGCUGCUGCUGAGUCAAACCAGAGAGGUUCAGUCUGAGUUUCAAACACCCAUAACACAUCUGACAGGCAAGGUUUGGCAGGUACUGAACAAGCCAAAGCUUCCCCAGGUGCCAGGAUACAGUUUACAUUUAUUUCAUAACACAUUUUACCUCCCACAUGGGCAGUACCCCCCCAUUAAGAGCUGUAGCCCGCUGUAGCUCUACCUUGUGGAAUACUCUUAAGUGCAAAUAGAACCACUUGGAAUGGGACAAGAGGUUGCUGCCUCAAAGGGGAUGUUUUCUCCUUCUGUUUUGCAGCAGUGAGGAAUAAUUCUCUGAGCUGGGCACUUAGUACUGGACAUGACUGACCCUUUAUCAGCAAGUUCCCAUCUGAUCAAUCUGCCACAUGGUGGAGGAAGAGCCUGGAAGGAUCCCUUUAUUAUAAAAAGCUCUCUGCAGUCAGGCGCUGACCCCUUCUCACCAGCUCUGUGUGGCUUCUGUGACAUCUUCUUCCAAGGAACAGGCUCACUUCACACUCUGUGGCCAGGUUGGUUCAGUCCAGCAACGCAGAGGUCGUGAUGCGACAUAACACGAAGUGAUACCUGGCUGCUGGAUUAUCCCACUCUCUGGUAUCUGCGUUGACUCAAGAGCCUCACAGCUUUAGGCCUGUCAGCCACCAGGAGUGCAGCUAUGCAAAUCUGCUGCAAGAAAAUGAGGUCUAUAAAUAAGAAACACCUUGGGCCUCCACAUCAUUGCAAGGUGUCUGAAAUGCAAGUGGAGGAUCACUCCCAC